AUAAACGCUGGCGGCGUGCAUGAGACAUGCAAGUCGAACGAAGGAUCGGGCUUGCUCGAUCCUUAGUGGCGGACGGCUGAGUAACGCGUAGGUGACCUACCCCGAAGUGGGGAAUAACUGCCCGAAAGGGUGGCUAAUACCGCAUGUGGUCGCACGUUCAUUCGUGCGAGUAAAGCCGCAAGGCGCUUCGGGAGGGGCCUGCGUCCGAUUAGCUCGUUGGUGGGGUAAUGGCUUACCAAGGCGACGAUCGGUAGGUGGUCUGAGAGGACGAUCACCCAGACUGGGACUGAGACACGGCCCAGACUCCUACGGGAAGCAGCAGUCGGGAAUUUUGCUCAAUGGGGGAAACCCUGAAGCAGCAACGCCGCGUGAGGGAUGAAGGCCUUCGGGUUGUAAACCUCUUUUGUCAGGGACGAUGAUGACGGUACCUGGCGAAUAAGCCACGGCUAACUACGUG
rnacentral:rRNA from 1 species